CCAAGUAAGUAUCCACCUCGGGGAGUACGAUCGCAAGGUUGAAACUCAAAGGAAUUGACGGGGCCCGCGACAAGCGUGGAGUAUGUGGUUUAAUCCGAAGCAACGCGAAGAACCUUACCAGGGCUUGACAUCCUACUAACGAAGCAGAGAUGCAUUAGGUGCCCUUCGGGGAAAGUAGAGACAGGUGGUGCAUGGUUGUCGUCAGCUCGUGUCGUAAGAUGUUGGGUUAAGUCCCGCAACGAGCGCAACCCCUAUUGUUAGUUGCUACGCAAGAGCACUCUAAACAGACUGCCGGUGACAAACCGGAGGAAGGUGGGGAUGACGUCAAGUCAGCAUGCCCCUUACGUCCUGGGCUACACACGUACUACAAUGGUAGGGACAGAGGGCAGCCAACCCGCGAGGGCGAGCUAAUCCCGUAAACCCUGCCUCAGUUCAGAUUGCAGGCUGCAACUCGCCUGCAUGAAGGCGGAAUCGCUAGUAAUCGCAGGUCAGCAUACUGCGGUGAAUCCGUUCCCGGGC
rnacentral:rRNA from 1 species